rnacentral:miRNA from 1 species
AAUAAGUUUUUGAGCAUAUUUAGUAAAUUUUUAGUAUAAAUAUGUCCCCUGCAAUAUUUGGGACAUAUUUAUACUAAAAUUAAAGUUCAUUGUUUAUCUGAAAUUCAAAUUCACCUGGGUGUUCUCUAU